UUNCAAAAUGUUUUGAGCAAUAAGGGUGC
rnacentral:piRNA from 1 species